GGUCAAUGUUGACUUAAAGAUUCAAUUCAAAAUAAGUAUUAUGAAAAGCAAGUUUGAAAAUCAAAAGCAUAAGGCUUAGGUUUCUAAUGUUGAAAACAAGUGUUAGAUGUUUGCAGAAAAAGUUUUGGCUUGGGUUAGAGUGGAGAGAAGAAGAAGAAGGGCUAAAGUCCUAAGCAUACAAGAGGUAAGGAAUAAGAAACAAAACCACAAAUGGAGUUCC
rnacentral:lncRNA from 1 species